rnacentral:rRNA from 1 species
UACAGAGGUCCCAAGCGUUGUUCGGAUUCACUGGGCGUAAAGGGUGCGUAGGUGGUAGGGUAAGUCGGAUGUGAAAUCUCCGAGCUCAACUCGGAAAUGGCAUUGGAAACUACCUUACUAGAGGGUUGGAGGGGGGACUGGAAUACUUGGUGUAGCAGUGAAAUGCGUAGAUAUCAAGUGGAACACCAGUGGCGAAGGCGAGUCCCUGGACAACUCCUGACACUGAGGCACGAAAGCUAGGGGAGCAAACGGG